rnacentral:rRNA from 1 species
AACGAACGCUGGCGGCAUGCCUAACACAUGCAAGUCGAACGGGAUCCAGGCUUCGGCCUGGUGAGAGUGGCGGACGGGUGAGUAACGCGUGGGAACCUGCCCAAUGGUCUGGGAUAACCGCGGGAAACUGCGGCUAAUACCGGAUAAGCCCGAGAGGGGAAAGAUUUAUCGCCGAUGGAGGGCCCGCGUCAGAUUAGGUAGUUGGUGGGGUAAUGGCCUACCAAGCCUACGAUCUGUAGCNGGUCUGAGAGGAUGAUCAGCCACACUGGGACUGAGAUACGGCCCAGACUCCUACGGGAGGCAGCAGUGGGGAAUAUUGGACAAUGGGGCAACCCUGAUCCAGCAAUGCCGCGUGAGUGAUGAAGG